rnacentral:tRNA from 1 species
UGCUCCAUAGUUCAGUGGUAGAAUAACGCAUUGUUAAUGCGCAGGUCCUUGGUUCGAAUCCAAGUGGAGCAG